rnacentral:rRNA from 1 species
CCUACGGGAGGCAGCAGUGGGGAAUAUUGCACAAUGGGGGAAACCCUGAUGCAGCAACGCCGCGUGAGUGAUGACGGCCCUAGGGUUGUUAAGCUCCGUCUUCAGGGACGAUAACGACGGUACCUGAGGAGGAAGCCACGGCUAACUACGUGCAAGCAGCCGCGGUAAGACGUAGGUGGCGAGCGUUGUCCGGAUUUACUGGGCGUAAAGGGGGCGUAGGCGGACUUUUAAGUGAGAUGUGAAAUAGUCGGGUUCAACUUGAGUGCUGCAUUUCAAACUGGAAGUCUAGAGUGCAGGAGAGGAGAAUGGAAUGCGUGGUGUAGCGGUGAAAUGCGUAGAGAUUAGGCAGAACACCAGUGGCGAAGGCGAUUCUCUGGACUGUAACUGACGCUGAGGCUCGAAAGCGUGGGGAGCAAACAGGAUUAGAUACCCGUGUAGUC